UCCGAGUUGACCCCGGCAGUCUCCUAUGAGUCCCCGGCCGAACCGCUGGCAACAUAGAACGAGGGUUGCGCUCGUUGCGGGACUUAACCCAACAUCUCACGACACGAGCUGACGACAACCAUGCACCACCUGUGCAGGACCCUUGCGGACCCGACAUCUCUGCCGGAUUUCCCUGCAUGUCAAGCCUUGGUAAGGUUCUUCGCGUUGCGUCGAAUUAAGCCACAUGCUCCGCUGCUUGUGCGGGCCCCCGUCAAUUCCUUUGAGUUUUAGCCUUGCGGCCGUACUCCCCAGGCGGGGCGCUUAAUGCGUUAGCUACGGCACAGAGGGCGUGGAAUACCCCCUACACCUAGCGCCCACCGUUUACGGCGUGGACUAC
rnacentral:misc_RNA from 1 species